AAGUCCCUUAUAGGUACAUAGAUCAAUCUAACUCAAACUUCCCUUCCAUAUUGCAAUUAGAGAAGAUAAUAUGAUUUGUGUCCCCUUCAUAAAAGCUAAUAUUGAAUUUUUUUUUAAUUUAAUGAAGGGAUGAUAAUAGAUUAGGCGAGUGAACUACACAUAAUAUUUGGUCGUCGGACCACAAAAAUAACAUUACUCUUUAAAUCUGCAUAAGACAGUUAGAAAGAACCAAGACUCUGGAAUUGACUUAGAACGAUUAAAAACGGUUAAACUGUUGGAAAUGUGCCAUAAAACCAAUCAUAUGAUGAUACUUUGCGGACAUUUCACAUGUUAAACUAAUCUAGUUUAAUAUCAAGGGCAAAGAUUAUUGUUUAAGCCGUCUCAUAUA
rnacentral:lncRNA from 1 species